AUUGGAGAUUAGUCUAGGGUAGAAUAGAUUUAUAUUUCCGCAUUAUUUAUUUUUGGACUGUAUAAUUGGACUGGACUUUACAUUCUUGGAUUGUUUUGUUUUGUUUAUUGUUUGAUUAUUUUGCGUGCUUUUGUGUGGUUUAUACAUUUCGUAAUGACAAAAUAGUUGAUACACUCUACCAAGCGACCGUGGUUGAACCACGGGAUCGAGGGGUGCCUAACACCUUCCCCUCGGUCAACAGAAUUCCUUAGC
rnacentral:lncRNA from 1 species